ACUAGCGGGGGGUGGAGGGGACGACUAGCGGGGGGUGUAGGGGGACGUGGACGACUAGCGGGGUGACUAUACGACUAGCGGGGUGACUAUACGACUGGCGGGGUGACUAUACAACUAGCGGGGUGACUAUACGACUAGCGGGGUGACUAUACGACUGGCGGGGUGACUAUACGACUAGCGGGGUGACUAUACGACUGGCGGGGUGACUAUACGACUAGCGGGGUGACUAUACGACUGGCGGGGUGACUAUACGACUGGGGGGACGACUAGCGGGGUGACUAUACGACUAGCGGGGUGAUGGAGGGGACUAGCAGGGUGACUAUAUGACUAGCGGGGUGAUGGAGGGGACGACUAGCGGGGUGACUAUACGACUGGCGGGGUGACUAUACGACUGGCGGGGUGACUAUACGACUGGGGGGACGACUAUUGGGGUGACUAUACGACUGGGGGGGAUGUUAACCUAACCCAGGCGUAGACUUGAAGUUGGAGACCCAGCAGAUUGCUGGUGGUUGUUGUUGUGGUGGUUUAAAAGAAUAAUCACUCACACACUCACACAGCCCCUCUAAGUUAAUAUCACAAAUAAAACUAUUGCCUGCUGCACCCAGCUUGAUCUCCUCCUGUGACACUGUGUAGGUGUAUGUGUAGGUGUGUGUGUGACUGUAGGUGUGUCUGUG